UGCUGGUGUGUGCUUGCCAUUGCCAGCACGGCCCUCCUCAGAAGCUGCAGCUGGGCCUGGACGUCGACGACCACGCACAAGGAGACGGCGACCUGGACAUGAUCGGCCGACCACGACGACGCCCACAGAAUAAGGUAUAAUUUCUUCCGACAUUUCCGGUUGGAGGGAUGUCAUGUGCCAAGCAAAAGUCAUGGAUGGAGAAGACUGCUUGUUGUAUUGUGCCACCCUGCCACACGAGAGAGCUGGCUUACCAGGUUGCUCUAUUCUAUGGAGGUGUUCACAUUAAUAAACACCAAGGAUUUAUUUGUUGCCGUCACUGUGGUGGGGCACACCUGGAAGGAUUGUAGCUCUAGCUAGAAAGAAGGACAUUUCUUUGAAGAAUGUGAGGCAUUCCAUCCUUGAUGAGUGUGAUAAGAUCAUAGGUCAGUUGGUAAAUUUUUAUCCUCAUUUCUUCCGUGUAUAGAGUUUUCUGGUCAUAUCUUCAUAUAUAUGAUGCGUGGAACUGUAGGUUCUGCUAAGCUGUUUGCUGUAUAUAGUCAAUUAGCACUAGUGACAUGUAUAGUCUUUUGAGAAUUAAGUUCUUGCUCGCCUACUUGUCAUGUGUUGUAUGUACAAGUCCUGGGAUGAGAUUGCAGAAAUUUGCAUGCUGACAUGCAUCUGCUUUGCCAUGGCGUUGAUUGUUGGGUAGUUCUCUCGCUGAUUAGGCAUGUGCUCGAGAUAAUAUCUUUGCCCACUAGUCAUGUUCUGUGCAGAAUAGUUCCUGAUUCAUUUAAC